rnacentral:rRNA from 1 species
GGCGCAAGCCUGAUCCAGCAAUGCCGCGUGAGUGAAGAAGGCCUUCGGGUUGUAAAGCUCUUUCAGUUGAAAAGAAAAGACCGUGACUAAUAAUCAUGGUUCAUGACGGUAUCAACAGAAGAAGCACCGGCUAACUACGUGCCAGCAGCCGCGGUAAUACGUAGGGUGCAAGCGUUAAUCGGAAUUACUGGGCGUAAAGGGUGCGCAGGCGGUUCUGUAAGUCAGAUGUGAAAUCCCCGGGCUUAACCUGGGAACUGCGUUUGAAACUGCAGAGCUAGAGUGCGGCAGAGGGAGGUGGAAUUCCAUGUGUAGCAGUGAAAUGCGUAGAGAUAUGGAAGAACAUCGAUGGCGAAGGCAACCUCCUGGGCUAGCACUGACGCUCAUGCACGAAAGCGUGGGGAGCAAACAGGAUUAGAUACCCUGGUAGUCCACGCCCUAAACUAUGUCAACUAGUUGUCGGGCCUUAAUAGGCUUGGUAACGUAGCUAACGCGUGAAGUUG